AAAAAAAAAAAAACUCUGCCAUACCUGGUACUACGCAGGAGUGGACGAAAGGUCUUCGGCACCCACGUAAUCCUACCCCUAAAAUUAGCGCUAACCUUCUCAUCUUAUCCCAAAUUUAGCGCUAACCUCUUUGGCAGCAGAAAUCUCCUCCAAGCAAAGUGAACGUGCGUGAGGCGGCCACCGGCGAAGGAGGCCGCGCGCGAUCCCCCGGUGCGGCGGCGCCCGCAUCCCUUGCCUCUCCAGCUGCACCGGUCUUCUCCCAGAGCACGAAGUGGGCGCGCGCGGGGUGGCCGCCGGCAAACGGGGCCGCGUGCGACCCCCCGGUGCGGCGGUACCAGCUCCCCUCGCCUCUCCGGUCGCACCUGCUCCUUCCUAAGCACGACGUGAGUGCACGCAUGGCGGCCUCCGGCGAACGAGGUCGCGCGCGAGCCCGCGUCGCGGCGGCGCGGAGCCCACUGCUCCCUGCCGGUUUGAGAUCCGCACGUGCUGGCGGUGCUCGCCUAUCCGCGCGCCAGGGCGCCCACGCAGUCCCUCCUCUUCGCCGGCGUCGAGCGCUACCGCAUCCUAGAGUGUCUUCUUUCGAGACUGCUUUGCAACAGAUCGCCGUUCACGCAAAGACUGGCAGGGGGACAGCCUCGACCGCGACGAGGAUAACAUUAGGAUCCAACAUAAGGUUCCUGGUCCACCCUUUUCGCCGCACUGAAAUAGGAACGCUUGCUUUUACCUGGUGCCGAUGGUUGGGGUUCUGCAGAGUGCAGACUUGGCGGAGAUCGCAUUUUUCCUCGGUAUCACGCAUCACGAUUCAGAGGUAGGCGGGUGGACCUUCUUCGUCUAAUUAUUAACUUGGUGGGAGCUAGCUGCUAUGUCGACCACCCAGAGUGAAGGUUGGUAUAACACUGAUAAUCGGUAGCUAUUUUCACUUGAACAGUUUCCAGCACUGUAAGCAGAAAGGAUUAUUUGAUGCAGAAUGUACUUUAUUGUACAGAAAGUAUUAGAUGAUGUUUUAACCUCAGUAUAUUGGGGCAUUCGAAACAUAGAUUACCUGACAAAUUGCUCCCUGGUAGUGUUGAUGAGCAGUUUGAAAAGGGUGUACAACUUGUAGAUUCCAUUGCAGAGAAACAGGCAUAAAAAAUUUCAGAAGAGUGCAAGCUUUUUCCUGCUGCUGUCCAAAUACAAUCAAUUAACCAACUGUAAGUGCACCCAAUUCGAUGUUCUUGUCAAUUGUAUUAUUUAGAAGCGCAGCUUCUAAGCACACAUAUAAUUCUGAAAUGGUAUGAAUCUAUGUUGCUGUCUUCAACCCCCAGAUUACAAGCAAUUUCAAGAACCACCACCAUUUCAGUGUGAGCUUAGAAUAAAUAUAGUAUGUGUGUUUAAAAAUCUUCCCUUUAUGAUUGUUUAGAAAUCUAGAGUAUCAAGACUGUUCUAUUUCUACAGGCUUUUUUAGUAUCAUGUAUAAAGAAUGGCAUGCAUAUUUUGGAGUAAUUACAGUGCAUAGCUGGUUAGUUUAGUUCAGAAAGGGGAGAACCAUAAGGAGUUGUUACAAUUUAAAUCUUUGCUCAGUUUCUUCUUUAGCUCAUUUCAUUUGACUUUUGUACAACCAAAUCAGAAGCUUGGAUGAUGUCAGGUUGAAUCUCGAGGUUCUCAAGCAUUUUUUAUGGUAGUCCCUGUAAUCUAAGUAAAAAGUUUUAGAUGUUUGUGAUGGUCUUGAGCAUAGGUCUUUACAAGGGUCUGGUAGCAGUUCUUCUGAUUGGAGGCCCUUCAUAAAGAACUAGCAGCAUGGUUCUUUAAAAUUACCGGGAUAAGAUAGUUAUAAUAAUCUUUGGCAGUAUCAAAACUAUAAUUAAAACCACACUACAUUUAUUUGUUUCCGCUAUAUUUAAAUUCUUUUCUGAUUCCAGCUUGUUAGUGUUGUUGCAGACUAUUGGUUGUUACAUAUUUCAAAUCACUUCGGCUAAUCAUGUACAUAUAUUUCCAGCUUAUGUACUUUACUAUUCAAUAUAUUUUUGUUUUAAAUCACAUCUAAUAUCCUUAUAUAAUUGUAACCCACAGGUGCCUGUUGAUAGCGUCUCCCAUAUCAAGAGGCUUGAAACCAAUUAUUCAGUUAUCAUACAUAUAUUCAGCGUCAGAACGCUUUCUGAGUGAAUCAUUGCUAUUGACUGCUCCUUAUUACCAUGUAUAAGUAAUGAAAGGUUGUACUUAUACUCUGUCUUCAUUGCACAGGUCCAUGAGCCCAGCAUAAGGAGACAACUGAUACAACAAAACAAAGUGAACAACUUAAUCUCUUAUAUGUCUAACUAAGCAUAUAUAGAUAAUACAACAUUUAUUUGUUUUCUAUAAUUUUACUGAGCAUAUGUGUAUGAGUUUAUAGUCAGUGUGUUCCACACCCACUUUGUUUUCCUAGAAUCCCAUGCCAUUUUAUAUUUCUACAACUUGCAUGGAAGGAGUGCAGCAAAUCUAAGACCAUAACGACAUGCAUUCUAAGGAAAACAUAAUCAAACUCCUAUCACUUAAGAUACCAUUACUACUAGCGGAACAAUGGAACUGAGUGUACAUUAUCUUUCUUUCAUAGCAAUUAUCCAUGCUGAUGAAAUAUACGGCCUUCAUGUUUUGCAGAACAAUUCAGUCGAAUGUACAAAGUCGGUAACCUCAUUAUGAAAAUGGAUAACCUUGGAUGGUAAAGAAGACUUGCUUAGUCUAUUCCUUUUGCUCUGCUUACUAAUGAUGCCGGAAGAUGCAACAUACUAAUUGUUUUGUUGUAUGUGUGUGCAGCACUUUAGCUGCAGAUGCAGACCAACAUCUUUUGUUUCACUGUUAUUGCUGAAAACUGGACGUGGUGAAUGUCAGUCAAAAUUUUAUCCAUUUUUCAUUUUCUUCACAUUUUUAGUAAAAUGAGUAUUCUGAAAAGCUUAGUAAAUAUAUAAAUUGGUUUCAUAACGUUUGGAUUUUAGAGGCUUGUCAUGCACUGCAGGUUUUACAUGUUGACGAGCUGCCUUGCAUAUCAGUGAAGUUAUUGAGCCAGUGCUUGCAUACAUAUAUAUGGUUUAAUCGUAAGAACACUCUUCAUAGUUGUUUUUCAAGGCUGAGAAGGUGUUGCUGUUGGUGACAUGUGCGGAACUUCUGUUGGUGUUUAUCUUGUAAUAACUCAAUUUGAUAGCGGAAACUGAUUGAAUUAUCAAUGUACAUUUAGGCAUAGAGCAUGAGGAUGUAUGGAACUUCUGAACA